UCUCUGACAGUGAGAUUUAUCAUAAUGAUGAUGAUGUUGCUGACUCCACUGCUGAUCACAAUCGUGCUCAGACUUCAAGGAUCAGAUGCCAGUUCAUCUGUGACUCAGUCUCCUGUGUUUAAAGCUGCUGCUUUGGGGGAGAGGGUCUCUCUGAGCUGUACAGCCAGUAAAGGAGUUGAUGAUGAUCUCAGCUGGUAUCUACAGAAACCUGGUCAGCCUCUUAAACUGCUGUUUUACAAAAUCAGCAGUCGUGAAUCUUGUACUCCGAGUCAUUUCAGCAGCAGUGGAUCUGAGCCUGAGUUCACUCUGACAAUCAAUGGAGUUCAGGCUGCAGAUGCAGGAGAUUACUACUGUAUGGGAGCAUAUAGAGGCCCAGAGUUCACACAGUGAUACAGAGUCAUACAAAAAACCUCCCUCAGUUACUAUUUGCAGUGUUGCAGCUGUGAGCUUCUGAUACGGACUCUGACAUGCAUCACUGGUUCACUGAGUCCACUUUCAGAGGUG